GAGACCACCCACACCAUCCUCUAUGAGACUGCUAAAUGACUGCUGCCUUGAAAAUGCGCUGAUUUCUUAGCAAGGGGGGCCAUACAUCUGAGAUUAUUUCAGAUUUAGGAUGCGUGAAUGAUGUAUAGAUAUUUGAGGGGUUACUGCUUCUCCGGGUUCAAGUUUGGGACCAUUCGAGUAAUGAAUUGAGAAGUCAGAAAAAGAUCCAAGCCUCAGAUCUGUACUCGAGGAGAAGCCUAUGUCAUGAGCUCGUUGACACCUCAGCCUUGAGUUGAAAAGCUUACCUGCCCCUUCACAGAUGCAUUGUCAUAUCUACCCCCACACUCAUCAAAGGGAGGAAGGGUAGGGGGUGAGGAUACAGGCGAGGAGGGCUACCCCCAACCUGGAAACAGUGGAGGAGGGAGUGCCCACCCCUUCAGGGUCCCAGCAUCCUCCUGAUACUACACAGUAGCAACUUUUAAAAGAGGACAACAUGGUGGUCUCGCUAAAUUUAGUCAUUAUUAGGUCAUUAAAUAUGUAUCAUAAGUGACUUUAAAUGUCUUACAGCAUAUUUUAUAGAUUGAUAAAAUAUCCACAGGAAAA
rnacentral:lncRNA from 1 species